UAAGAAUUUAAAAGUCGAACAGACUUAUUUUUAAGAAUACUGCUUCUUAAAAUUUUCUUAAUUCAACAUCGAGGUCGCAAAAUAUAGUAUAAAUGAGAACUCCCCACUAAAAUUACGCUGUUAUCCCUAAGGUAACUUAAUCUUACUUCCCAUUUGUUAGGAUUUAAAUUCACAUAAAUAAAUGAGUUAAAAAACUAAAGUUAAUAAUUUAGUUGCCACCCCAGCAAAAUAUAAAAAAAAUAUAAAAAAAUUUAAUAAUUUAUUAUAAAAUUUAAUAAUAAUAGUUUAUAUAAAGUUCUAUAGGGUCUUAUCGUCCCAAUAAAACAUAAAAGCAUUUUAACUUUAAAUUUAAAUUUUAAUAUUUAAGAAAAUAAAAUAUAAUUCUCAUACAUCCAUUCAUACAAGCUUCCAAUUAAAAAACUAAUUACUAUGCUACCUUUGCACAGUCAAAAUACUGCAGCCAUUUAGAAAAUUUAACCAUAGGGCAGAAGAUACUUUUCACAAAACCA
rnacentral:rRNA from 1 species